rnacentral:tRNA from 1 species
GGGUUUGGGUGGCACAGUGGGUAGUGCUGUUGCCUCACAUGCAAGAGGAUGUGGAUUCAAUCCCCACUCAGUCUG